CUUCCAGCCACGCACAUUAUACAUUGAGAAUUGAAAUACGCAAGAUGAAAAACUUGAUUGUGUGUGCCCUCGUAUUGGCUCUUAUGGUGGUAGCCGUAGUCUAUGGGCAAUGCCCCAACUGUCAGCCGAAGGAUGAGAUGCCAGGACCCUAAACAAUCGCACAAAAUAUAGACGUUUACUUUCUUUA